GGGGAUGUAGCUCAGUGGUAGAGAUUCCGCUUUGCAUGCGGAAGGCCCGGGGUUCGUUCCCCCGCAUCUCCA
rnacentral:tRNA from 1 species